GCUGCCACGUGCAUAGACAAUCCAUUUGACUUAGAGGAGGCUACAAGGUCCUCUCCUUAUCACAUGGCCAUUGAUCAGAAGCACACUGGUGGACUGAUAGAUAUUCUAAGAUCUAAUAAGCUGUUUUCUAGGAACUAUUUCAAGGCAAAGCAAAAGGGUUUGACAUGGAGAAGGCUUUAUUGGCAAAGUCUAUUCAUGAUUUUGAAAAAGCAAUAUCUAUGGUAUCUUAGCACAAGAGAUGUGGUUGGGAAUGUGAGCAAGCAAAGAAGAUUUAUAAAACUCAAUGUUUUAUGUUGAAUAAAUAUAUGAUGUACUCUUCUAUAUAAUGCAGAUUUGUUGUAUUAUGUUC